CCCAGGGAGGAGGACUGAAAAUGCCCAAGGUCCUGGAUUCAUUCAACUUCUUCCACAAAUAUCUGGGAUGGUGAAGGGACCCAAAAUCAAGAACCUCCAGAUGAAAGCCAGCCAACCUGACAUUACAACCUUGGCCCUAUCAGGCACAGGAGAGCAGAGAACCCAGGCACACCCUGCAGGACUUCUGACCUACAGAACUCUAAGCUAGAAGGGCCCUUUCUGUCAGUGUAACGGUGAGAUGCUUCUAUUCCUGCAGAGGUCAUUGGUGUGGAGGUACCCACUGCAGUGGUGUGAUUAUCUGCCCCCAAGAGACUAUGGAUCCAGGAAGAUCACAAAAUACCAAUGUGAGCAUUUCAAAGGCUGGGAGAAUGUGUCAUCCAGCAAAUGCCCAGCAUUCAUCACACAGAAUGCUUGAUAAAGUGAUUAAUA